UUUCAAAUCUUUAUUUACGCGACAGAAAGCUUUUUACACCUCCGCAAAACUUCGCCACAUUUCUGAUCUUCAUCUUCACGUUGCACCCAUUCUCUGGACCUUCAAACCACACACUCCUCUCCUUCCUUUAUUUAAGCAAUCAUUCUCGCCGUUUAGGACGUCAGCAACGAGUUAAAUUUUCGGAGAUACUCGAGCUUCAAAGUUGUUCAACUCAAGAGGAAGUCAGAGAGGCAAGAGGGAGAGGGAGUAACCGAAAGGCAGAGAGAGAGAGAGAGACUAAGAGAAAGUGGGGGAGGAAGAGACCCAGCCGGUGGGCUGGCCACCGGACUGGGCGGAAGACGCCUCCGGGCCCAGAGGCCACGGCCCCGCACCGGCGACGCCACCGGAGAGCGUUUUCCGGCGACUUCUGGGUCCCUAUAGUAUAGAAAAUCCGUCCCCUGUGAGUAUUGAUUUCUGGGUUUUUGAUUUUCUAGGUUUAGGAUGGAAAAUUUAGGAGGAAAAUUUUCUGAUUUUAGGAAAGGAUUUUCGGUGAAGAAGAGAGAAACUAUAGGGUAUUGAAAUUUCUGAACUUUUUCUGAAGAAAAACCGUAGGGGUGUAGAAGAAUUCACUGGGUAGACUUUCGGGUAAGAGUUCUCUUGAGAUUUAAUUUUUACUUUUUAGUAUGAUUUUCUUUUGAUUUGGGUUGAUUAUUUCUGGAAUGGAGAAGAUUUUCUGGGUACCGUGAUUUUGGGGGUUAAACCAUAUGGGUGUGAAAUCAAAAAAUUCCAGAUUGUUUUUCAGGUAGAGGAACCGAAUGGGAUUGAAAAUUUCUGAGUUUUGUAGUUUUGAUUUGGAUUGUUUUGGGUGAUUCCGAUUUUGGUAAAAUUCUGGAUUCUUAUUUUGUUUCAUAUUGGUGUUGUCUAUGGGGUUUGAUUGUGUGGAAUCUGUUGACAUUUUGGAAGUUGGUUCGUGAAGAAUUUUCUGAAGAAUAACCGAUUGAGUGUUCAGAUUUUUCCAUUGAUGCUGAAUGGGUUUUAAUUUCUAUUUUUCUGUUUGAGAUGCUGGGUAUGGAUAACUGAGUUUGGUUGGUUGUUGUUAUUGGGAUUUUGGUGAAAUUAUAUGAUGAUUUGUAGUAUCUGGAAAUUGGAAUUUCCAGUUAGUGGGUAGCCGAUUGUGGAGGAUUUUUGGUUAUAAAAGCUGAAUGGUUAUUUUUGGAUGGAGUAUUAUAUCAAUUAUUCUACGCUUGGAUAUGUAAAUUAAUAUAUGGUUUGUUUCUGGAUUUUUGUUGAAAUAUUAGAGCUUCACUUUAAAUC